rnacentral:rRNA from 1 species
GAUGAACGCUGACAGCAUGCUUAACACAUCAGCAAUUGAUUGGUGGCGGACGGGUGAGUAACGCGUAAAGAACUAGCCUCACAGCUAGGGCCAACAUUUGGAAGCGAAUGCUAAUACCUAAUACUGUGAGAGAGCUUUGCGUCCCAUUAGCUAGUUGGAGAGGUAACGGCUCACCAAGGCGAUGAUGGGUAGCCGGCCUGGGAGGGUGAUCGGGCCCAAAGGGACUGGGGUACGGCCCUUACUCAAACGUGGGGAAGCGGUGAGGAAUGUUUGACAAUGGACCAAAGUGUGAUGAAGCAAUUCGGUGUGUACGAUGAAGUUUUCGGAAUGUAAAGUGAUGUCAGUUGGUAAGCGGUACCAACAGAAGAAGUGACGGCUAACUACGUGCCAGCAGCCGCGGUAAUAC